rnacentral:rRNA from 1 species
AGGGUUUGAUCAUGGCUCAGGAUGAACGCUGGCGGUAUGCCUUAUACAUGCAAGUCGUACGAGAGUUUUUAACUCAAGUGGCGGACGGGUGAGUAACACGUAAGAAUUUACCUUUAGGAGGGGGACAACAAUCGGAAACGGCUGCUAAUACCCCAUAUGCUUUCGAGUGAAAUGGAUUUUCCGCCUAGAGAGAAGCUUGCGGCUGAUUAGCUUGUUGGUAGAGUAAUAGCCUACCAAGGCGACGAUCAGUAUCUGGUUUGAGAGGACGAUCAGACACACUGGAACUGAGACACGGUCCAGACUCUUACGGGAGGCGGCAGUAGGGAAUUUUCCGCAAUGGGCGAAAGCCUGACGGAGCAAUACCGCGUGAGGGAUGACUGCCUAUGGGUUGUAAACCUCUUUUUUCAGGGAGGAAUUAAUGACGUGUACCUGAAGAAUAAGCAUCGGCUAACUCCGUGCCAGCCGCCGCGGUAAUAC